rnacentral:rRNA from 1 species
UACGUAGGGGCAAGCGUUGUCCGGAAUCAUUGGGCGUAAGAGCGUGUAGGCGGCCAGAAAAGUCCGCUGUGAAAACUCGAGGCUACAACUUCGAGCUGUCGGUGGAAACUUUCUGGCUAGAGUCCGGAAGAGGAGAAUGGAAUUCCUGGUGUAGCGGUGAAAUGCGCAGAUAUCAGGAAGAACACCCGUGGCGAAGGCGGUUCUCUGGGACGGUACUGACGCUGAGACGCGAAAGCGUGGGGAGCGAACAGG